GAUGAAGAACGCAGUGAAAUGCGAUACGUAAUGUGAAUUGCAGAAUUCAGUGAAUCAUCGAGUCUUUGAACGCAUAUUGCGCUCUCUGGUAUUCCGGAGAGCAUGCUUGUUUGAGUAUCAGUAAACACCUCAACUCCCUUUUCUUUUUUGAAAUUGGAGCUGGACUUGAGUGAUCCCAACGCUUUCUUCCAAGAAAGUGGCGGGUUGCUUGAAAUGCAGGUGCAGCUGAACUUUUCUCUGAGCUAUAAGCAUAUCUAUUUAGUCUGCCUAAAAAACAGAUUAUUACCUUUGCUGCAGCUAACAUAAAGGAGACUAGUUCUUGUGCUGACUGAUGCAGGAUUCACAGAGACAGCUUCGGCUGACUUUGUAAACUCGAUCUCAAAUCAAGUAAGACUACCCGCUGAACUUAAGCAUAUCAAUAAGCGGAGGA
rnacentral:misc_RNA from 1 species